AUUGAACGCUGGCGGCAGGCCUAACACAUGCAAGUCGAACGAGCGGCGGACGGGUGAGUAAUGUCUGGGGACUGCCCGAUGGAGGGGGAUAACUACUGGAAACGGUAGCUAAUACCGCAUACUAUCGGAUUACCCAGAUGGGAUUAGCUAGUAGGUGGGGUAAUGGCUCACCUAGGCGACGAUCCCUAGCUGGUCUGAGAGGAUGAUCAGCCACACUGGAACUGAGACACGGCCCAGACUCCUACGGAGGCAGCAGUGGGGAAUAUUGCACAAUGGGCGCAAGCCUGAUGCAGCCAUGCCGCGUGUAUGAAGAAGGCCUUAGGGUUGUAAAGUACUUUCAGUGGGGAGGCGUUACCCACAGAAGAAGCACCGGCUAACUCCGUGCCAGCAGCCGCGGUAAUUC
rnacentral:rRNA from 1 species